CCCUGCCGCCGCGCAGCCGCCCGUAUUUAAAGGGGACGCAGCCUGCCUGACUGCCAGGAGCCAAGCGCGAGUCGGCCCAGCCAAAGCGCAUGCGCGAGGCGCGCGCCGCUUUUUGCUUCACAGUGCUUCCCACGGUUGUCUUAGGAACCAGUCCCCGAGGCUUGGCAACGCGGGAGCCCUCCGUGGCAGCGCUUGGGUGUCGGGCCUCCGAGGCUCCGGCCUGACCUCUCCACGGGGUCCACAGGAACGUCUCCGGCUGCCAGGAGUCACAAGGGGCCGAGCAGGAUGAGGAAACCACAGGCGGAGUCCGGGGGAAGCAGCGUGGCAUCCCAGCCUCAGGGCUGUCAGGACGGUGUUCGGGAUCGAGAGGACCACACUGCAGCCCAGGACAAAAGCCCCACGGUAGCACAUUGUCCGGCAGGAGAGGAGCAGACCCACGUCCAAGAAGAUGGUUUUACCUUUCCACGCCCCUUCUCUGCGAAAUGAAGCCACACCACCACACAGUCUUGAAGAGGAAGCCUGGAAUGGGAGACGGCAACAAGCCCCGUCCCUGGAACGCUGGCCUCUCUGGACAAGCCACCCGCUUCGCACCCCUCCUCUUAUGCCCGUGGCGGUGGCACGGCGCUGUAUCCUGCCUGGGCUAUGGCCUCUGCUCUGUCGUCCCUCUUGCUCUGUCUCCCCUGUUUCUGAGCGGCCUAGAUGCCUCUCGGUCUGGCUGAAUAUCUUCUACGAAGAUCACUUCCCCGUCCAUCAGGGAGACACUUCCUGGA
rnacentral:lncRNA from 1 species